rnacentral:lncRNA from 1 species
CACCGCCCCCGCCCCCGCUCCGCAACCGGAGCUCGCGCCAACUCUGCGACCGAGACCCCCGGAUUGCAGGAGCGGGCCACGCCGCGCAGUGCCCACGCCCGCCAUGGCUUCCGCGCACGCAGCCUGGCGCGGCGACACGCGCACACCCGCGGCCGAAUCGGGGGAGGGAGCGGAGCCCGCCGAGCGCCAGAUCCCCGCGCCCUGCGAGUCGCCAGGGCAGUAAGGGGCACGCGCGGUGGGACGCUGAAGAAUGGGACAGCGCUGCGCCUGGGCUCUCUGUGACAGAGAUAUUGUCUUUCCCUUCCUGGAGAUAGGAGUUAUUGCAGUAUUCUGUCUGGGUCUUUCCGUGUCAUCCGCCCCACGAUCGUCUUGACAACUCUGUAGCUAACAAGGUGUUGCUCUUUAUGAUGGCUGCUAUCCCGUGAAAGCUGCCAAUGGGUAACUGAGGAGAAGAGAAGCAAUUCAUGCCGAGCAGGACUGGAUGAGAAAUUGGAUCAAGAUUGACUCAGCUGCAAUUCUGGGUCCAGAAAACACCAAAUAUGUAGUCUUGAUGUGGAAGCACAUUGAUUGUGAUAAUCAUCCAGAUAAUAAGGCACAGAAGACAAGAAAAAUUAUUUUUUUCCUAAGCAUACUUGUGAUAACUCUUGCUUAGUAAUGUGUGUGUAUAUGUGAAAAGGCAGAGAAAAGGGAAGAGAGACAGGAAGAGAGAGGGGGAGGUAAUUACCAUGUUUGAUUAAUUUAGUUUAUCUGAUCACAAUAUUUUUUUUAAUUUACCAAAUUAGUGAGUUAAUCUUUUAAUGUUAUCUAUUUCCAAAAAACUGGGCUUUGAGUUUCCUAUUGUAUAUGGUCCUAGCACCUACAUAGUAAUACAUAUUUCAUUCAAACAGACAGUUGUUGACACACUGAAAAGCAUCAUCUAAAUUAUCCCUAAGAACAGUAUCUUGAUAAAAUUUGAAAGUAACCUAAACAUAUGUAUAGGUAUAAAUAUAGCAAUAGCAAGAAUAAAACUGAAAAGAGAACAUAUUUGUACUACUUGAAUAUAUAAUAAGCAAACAACACUAAUAAGAGUCUAAGCCACAUUAUACCAGUACUCUGGGAAGCUGGAAACUGGUUUUACCAUCUGUCAGCUUCUAUACUGGCAGCAUCACAAAUGAGACCUCUUUUGAACAAAACAUCACAGCAGGAGCCACAGACAUGUGAAUUGUAAUUAACACGUGAAAAUGCAUUUCAUAGCUUUUGUCAUUUAUAGAAAACAUAUUGUGAAUUUUUGAUUUAUAAAAUUAUAUCAAAUGUAAGCCAUUUUAAUUUUCCAAACUUAUACACUAUUUCAUCAAAACUUUGGCCUUUACCAACAGUGAGUAUUCCUUAGGUCUGGUUCACUCUUUAAUGAGGAUCAAUUAUUUCCUAAUCAUUCAGGUACAGAAGAUGAACAAAAAUAUAAAUCUGCUGAGGACAAAUAGUAUUGUUUUACAUUUAUUUAAUAGUAUUUUCUACAAUAAAAACUAUUUUCUAUAAUAAAAAGGUAUAUUCCUGGCCAGGCGGUGGUGGCGCACUCCUUUAAUCCCAGCACUUGGGAGGCAGAGGCAAGCAGAUUUCUGAGUGCGAGGCUAGCCUGGUCUACAAAGUGAGUUCCAGGACAGCCAGGACUAUACAGAGAAACCCUGUCUCAAAAAAAAAAAAAAAAAAAAAAACCUGAGAAAUAUAAAGUCAAAUCAAAUCCUCAAACCUAAUAAAAUUUUUUCCUCCCUUUCAUACCUAAGAGAACAAAAAUAUUCUAGUUUCUUAGCUCUUUCAUACCUGAAAACCCAAAUGCACAGCUCAUGAGAUGUAACUGUUGUGUUACACACAUUAAACAAAUGUU